rnacentral:rRNA from 1 species
GGCGAACGCUGGCGGCGUGCUUAACACAUGCAAGUCGAACGGAAAGGCCCUGCUUUUGUGGGGUGCUCGAGUGGCGAACGGGUGAGUAACACGUGAGUAACCUGCCCUUGACUUUGGGAUAACUUCAGGAAACUGAGGCUAAUACCGGAUAGGAGCUCCUGCUGCAUGGUGGGGGUUGGAAAGUUUCGGCGGUUGGGGAUGGACUCGCGGCUUAUCAGCUUGUUGGUGGGGUAGUGGCUUACCAAGGCUUUGACGGGUAGCCGGCCUGAGAGGGUGACCGGCCACAUUGGGACUGAGAUACGGCCCAGACUCCUACGGGAGGCAGCAGUGGGGAAUAUUGCACAAUGGGCGGAAGCCUGAUGCAGCAACGCCGCGUGCGGGAUGACGGCCUUCGGGUUGUAAACCGCUUUCGCCUGUGACGAAGCGUGAGUGACAGUAAUGGGUAAAGAAGCACCGGCUAACUACGUG